AAUUUGUCCUGACCGUUGCAAGUGCUUUCCCCUCAAGUGUCACUAAAAUACAAGUAGAAUCAAAAUACUUGCACACCUAUGAUGUUGAAUGGUUCCACCUGCACCCUGCGUUCUCAGCUUCUCCAUCAAUAAAGAAUAACAUUGCUGUUAUUAAGUUGACCAACAAGGUGCCAAGAUCAGUUCAAGAUCUUGUUAGACCGAUCUGCUUGGGACUGAACUUGAGUCCCCCAACGGCGUGGAACGCUUUCCUCUACAGUCUCAAUGACGCUUUUAUGGGCAUUAAAAUGGUGGACUUAAAGAAGAUCGAUAAUUGCUCUGCGAAGACUAAAUUGCCUGUACAACGCGAUCAGUUUUGUAUCGAGAAGCCUGACCAAUCGAAGUAUGCACCUUAUGAGACCCCUGGCUCUGUGAUAGGUACUAUGCAAACGAUAGGGGGCUCCGAAAGAUAUCUCAUUGCUGCACUUAUAAGCCAUAUUCAGGAUAAUGUAAUCGUCCUUACAAAAAUUCAAGACCACCAAAAAUGGAUUGCGAAUGAGUUGAAAGGUUGAAUUAAA